rnacentral:rRNA from 1 species
AUACGGAGGGGGUUAGCGUUGUUCGGAAUUACUGGGCGUAAAGCGCGCGUAGGCGGACCAUUAAGUCAGGGGUGAAAUCCCGGGGCUCAACCCCGGAACUGCCUCUGAUACUGGCGGUCUUGAGUUCGAGAGAGGUGAGUGGAAUUCCGAGUGUAGAGGUGAAAUUCGUAGAUAUUCGGAGGAACACCAGUGGCGAAGGCGGCUCACUGGCUCGAUACUGACGCUGAGGUGCGAAAGUGUGGGGAGCAAACAGGAUUAGAUACCCUGGUAGUCCACACCGUAAACGAUGAAUGCCAGUCGUCGGGUUGCAUGCAAUUCGGUGACACACCUAACGGAUUAAGCAUUCCGCCUGGGGAGUACGGUCGCAAGAUUAAA